UGGGAUGGCUCAGUUGGUAGAGCACGAGACUCUUAAUCUCAGGGUUGUGGGUUUGAGUGCCACACUGGGCAAAA